rnacentral:misc_RNA from 1 species
CCAAUAGCGUAUAUUAAAGUUGUUGCAGUUAAAAAGCUCGUAGUUGAAUUUCGGGAUCAAGGAAUCGGUCAUGCCUCGGUAUGUACUGGUUUUAUUGGUUCUCACCUUCUAAAGAACCAUGAUGUCAUUCAUUUGAUGUUAUGGGGAAUUAGGACUGUUACCUUGAAAAAAUUAGAGUGUUUAAAGCAAGCUUACGCUUGAAUACAUUAGCAUGGAAUAAUGAAAUAGGACAUCAGAUUCUAUUUUGUUGGUUUCUAGGAUCGAUGUAAUGAUUAAUAGGGAUAGUUGGGGGCAUUAGUAUUCAAUUGUCAGAGGUGAAAUUCUUGGAUUUAUUGAAGACUAACUACUGCGAAAGCAUUUGCCAAGGAUGUUUUCAUUAAUCAAGAACGAAAGUUAGGGGAUCGAAGACGAUCAGAUACCGUCGUAGUCUUAACCAUAAACUAUGCCGACUAGGGAUCGGAUGAUGUUAAUUUUUUAAUGACUCAUUCGGCACCUUACG